rnacentral:lncRNA from 1 species
AAUUAAAAUUUUUUAAUUCUGAUGAAUCCACAAGUCAAGAUUGACAUCUAGCAAUGUGUCAUGACUAUCCAACUCGAUGAUCCAACGAUUGAAAAUAUUUUAGAUUGGGGCUUUCAAGAUUUUAGGUCUUACUGGUAUGAUCUCAUUAUGAUCAUAAAAUUAUUAUCCUAAUUUAUGAGAUUUAUCAUAAUCAUAAAAAAUAUGAUGCAGCAAAUGAUAAAAUAUAAUACCUCAUGAAUAAGAUAACUAAUAUCAUGCAAAUGAGCAGAAAGAAAAUAUAGAAAAGUCCCUUCGCAUAGCCCAUACGAUUGGCUUGUAGGGCACAUUCUUUCAUAAGAUCUUAGGGUUUGAGGUUAGGAUUUAGAUUUUAAGAUUUAGAAUUUUAGGGUUUAGGAUUUGAAAUUUGGGGUUUAGAGUUUGAAAUUUAGGGUUUAGGAUUUGGGGUUGGUGUUUGAGAGUUUUGGGGUUUAGGGUUUGGGUUUGGGAUUUGGGGUUUGGGGUUGAAGAUUUGGGAUUUAGAGUUUAGGGUUGAGGAUUUAGGGUUGCAGGGUUCG